UACGUAGGGGGCAAGCGUUGUCCGGAAUCAUUGGGCGUAAAGCGCGUGUAGGCGGCCCGAUAAGUCCGCUGUGAAAGUCCAGGCUCAACCCUGGGAUGCCGGUGGAUACUGUCGGGCUCGAGUCCGGAAGAGGCGAGUGGAAUUCCUGGUGUAGCGGUGAAAUGACGCAGAUAUCAGGAGGAACACCAAUGGCGAAGGCAGCUCGCUGGGACGUGACUGACGCUGAGACGCGAAAGCGUGGGGAGCAAACAGG
rnacentral:rRNA from 1 species